AUGGCGCCGCCCGCCGCUCUCGCCCGGGUCAUAUCCUGCCUCCUCCCCCCGCCCCUCCACCCCCCUCCCAUGCUCUCCACGCGUCUCCUCCGCCACCGCCUCGCCGCCGCCGCUAGCUCCUCCCUUUCGCCCCUCCGCUUCGUCGCCGCCGCCAUGUCCUCCUCCUCCGCCGCGCCCGGCGGCGGCCGGAAGCCGAACCGCCUCGCCGCCGAGCACAGCCCGUACCUGCUGCAGCACGCGCACAACCCGGUUGACUGGUAUCCUUGGGGAGAUGAGGCUUUCGAGAAGGCUCGCAAAUUGGACAUCCCCAUCUUUCUGUCAAUUGGCUAUAGUACAUGCCAUUGGUGUCAUGUAAUGGAGGUGGAGUCUUUUGAGAAUGAAGAAGUUGCUAAGAUUCUAAAUGAUUGGUUUGUUAGCAUCAAGGUGGAUCGUGAAGAGCGGCCAGAUGUUGACAAGGUUUAUAUGACAUAUGUGUCAGCGCUGUACGGAGGUGGUGGUUGGCCUUUGACCGUCUUUUUAUCACCCAACUUAAAACCUUUGAUGGGCGGUACAUACUUUCCACCAGAUGAUAAGUAUGGAAGACCUGGGUUCAAGACUAUUUUAAGGAAGGUCAAGGAAGCCUGGGAUACUAAACGUGAUGCUCUUGAGAAGUCAGGAAAUGUGGUCAUCGAGCAACUUAGAGAUGCAUUAUCUGCCAAGGCUAACUUUCAAGAUGUGCCAAAUGAUGUGGCUGUUCUUUAUGUAGAUCAAUGUGUUGAAAAGUUAGCAAGCAGUUACGACCCAAAGUUUGGUGGAUUUGGCUCUGCUCCCAAGUUUCCAAGACCCGUUGAAGAUUGCAUAAUGCUCUAUAAAUUCCGGAAACACAUGGAAGCUAGGCAGGAGAGUGAAGCCCAAAACAUAAUGAAGAUGGUAACUCAUACACUGCAAUGUAUGGCUAGAGGUGGAGUUCAUGACCAUGUUGGAGGUGGCUUUCAUAGAUAUAGUGUGGAUGAGUGCUGGCAUGUUCCACAUUUUGAGAAGAUGCUGUACGACCAGGGACAGAUAGCCAAUGUAUACUUGGAUACAUAUGUUAUCACGGGAGAUGAGUAUUAUUCUUCAGUUGCACGUGAUAUACUUGAUUACUUGAGGAGAGACAUGAUUGGGGAAGAUGGUGAAAUUUUCUCAGCAGAAGAUGCUGACAGUGCAGAAUAUGAAGGUGCUCCACGAAAAAAAGAGGGUUCUUUCUACGUGUGGACAAGUCAAGAGAUCGAAGACACACUUGGGGAGAAUGCGGAGCUGUUCAAGAACCACUACUAUGUUAAAUCAUCUGGCAAUUGUGACCUUUCGGGGAUGAGUGAUCCUCACAAUGAGUUCAGUGGUAAAAAUGUGUUAAUAGAAAGAAAACCGGGUUCAUUGAUGGCAUCGAAGUAUGGCAAGUCUGUUGAUGAAUAUUAUGGAAUCCUGGGGGAAUGCAGACAAAAGUUGUUUGAUGUCCGAUCAAAAAGGCCAAGACCACAUUUGGACGACAAGGUUAUUGUUUCAUGGAAUGGAUUAGCAAUAUCUGCCUUUGCAAGAGCUUCACAAAUUUUGAAGUCAGGACCACCUGGAACCAAAUUUUAUUUCCCGGUAGCAGGAUGCGAUCCAGUAGAAUAUCUUCAAGUUGCAGAAAAGGCAGCAAACUUUAUAAAGGAAAAACUCUAUGAUGCAAGCUCAAAAAGGCUGCAUCAUAGUUAUCGAAAUGGCCCAGCAAAAGCACCAGGAUUUUUAGAUGAUUAUGCCUUCUUAAUCAAUGCCUUGCUGGAUCUCUAUGAAUAUGGUGGUAAGAUAGAGUGGCUUCUGUGGGCUGUCGAGCUGCAAGUCAUUCAGGAUGAAUUGUUCUUGGACAAACAAGGGGGUGGCUAUUUCAAUACACCUGGAGAAGACCCUUCUGUCCUUUUGCGUGUUAAAGAAGAUUAUGAUGGUGCAGAGCCUUCUGGAAACUCGAUGGCAGCGAUCAACAUGGUCAGAUUGUCCAGUAUAUUUGAUGCUGCAAAAUCUGAAGGCUACAAACGUAAUGUUGAACAUCUCCUGGCGGUUUUUGAGACUAGACUGAAAGAACUUGGCAUAGCAUUGCCACUGAUGUGCUGCGCAGCAGACAUGCUCACUGUUCCGUCAAGGAAGCAGGUAGUGCUGGUGGGGAAUAAAGCAUCUCCAGAAUUUCAAGACAUGGUCGCUGCUGCAUUCUCGUCAUACGACCCAAACAGAACCGUGAUCCAGAUAGAUGCCAGCAACAUGGAAGAGAUGGCAUUCUGGGAGAGCAACAACGCGAACAUCGCGCAGAUGGCACGGAGCAGCCCAUCGGGGAAGCCAGCGGUGGCGCAUGUGUGCCAAGAGUUCAAGUGCAGUCCUCCGGUGACCUCUCCUGGCGCGCUCCGUGAGCUGCUCAGCAAGACGGUGGCUGCUGCGGGUUCAGCUGUUUGA
rnacentral:rRNA from 1 species